UACGAAGGGGGCUAGCGUUGUUCGGAUUUACUGGGCGUAAAGCGCACGUAGGCGGAUCGAUCAGUCAGGGGGUGAAAUCCCAGAGCUCAACUCUGGAACUGCCUUUGAUACUGUCGAUCUGGAGUAUGGAAGAGGUGAGUGGAAUUCCGAGUGUAGAGGUGAAAUUCGUAGAUAUUCGGAGGAACACCAGUGGCGAAGGCGGCUCACUGGUCCAUUACUGACGGCUGAGGUGCGAAAGCGUGGGGAGCAAACAGG
rnacentral:rRNA from 1 species